GGAUCCAGACUUUGAUCAUGGCUCAGGAUGAACGCUAGCGGCAGGCUUAACACAUGCAAGUCGAGGGGCAGCGCGGGGCGGCAACGUCCUGGCGGCGACCGGCGGAAGGGUGCGUAACGCGUGAGCGACAUGCCCGUUGCCCGGGGACAACCGGUGGAAACGCCGACUAAUCCCCGAUGGGACGGAGGCCCUCAUGGGUCUCUGUUGAAAGUUACGGCGGCGACGGAUUGGCUCGCGUCCGAUUAGCUUGUUGGCGGGGUAACGGCCCACCAAGGCUACGAUCGGUAGGGGUUCUGAGAGGAAGGUCCCCCACAAUGGAACUGAGACACGGUCCAUACUCCUACGGGAGGCAGCAGUGAGGAAUAUUGGUCAAUGGGCGGAAGCCUGAACCAGCCAUGCCGCGUGCGGGAAGGAGGCCCUAUGGGCUGUGAACCGCUUUUGCCUGGGGGCAAUAAGGGCGUCGCGCACGUCCGAUGAGAGUACCAGGGGAAUAAGCAUCGGCUAACUCCGUGCCAGCAGCCGCGGUAAUACGGGGGAUGCGAGCGUUAUCCGGAUUCAUUGGGUUUAAAGGGUGCGUAGGCUGUGCGUCAAGUCAGGGGUGAAAUUCCGGGGCUCAACUCCGGGGCUGCCCUUGAUACUGUCGCGCUGGAGUGCGGAUGCCGCCGGAGGAAUGAGUGGUGUAGCGGUGAAAUGCUUAGAUAUCACUCAGAACACCGAUUGCGAAGGCAUCUGGCGAAUCCGUAACUGACGCUGAGGCACGAAAGCGUGGGGAUAGAACAGGAUUAGAUACCCUGGUAUUCCACGCCGUAAACGAUGAUGGCUAACCGCCGGCGACAUACUGUCGGUGGCCAAGCGAAAGCGAUAAGCCAUCCACCUGGGGAGUACGUCGGCAACGAUGCAACUCAAAGGAAUUGACGG
rnacentral:rRNA from 1 species